AUUGAACGCUGGCUGCAGGCCUAACACAUGCAAGUCGAGCGGAUGAAGGGAGCUUGCUCCUGGAUUCAGCGGCGGACGGGUGAGUAAUGCCUAGGAAUCUGCCUGGUAGUGGGGGAUAACGUCCGGAAACGGGCGCUCAUACCGCAUACGUCCUGAGGGCGAAAGUGGGGGAUCUUCGGACCUCACGCUAUCAGAUGAUCCUAGGUCGGAUUACCUAGUUGGUUGGGUAAAGGCCUACCAAGGCAACGAUCCGUAACUGGUCUGGAAGGAUGAUCAGUAACACUGGAACUGAGAAACGGACCAGACUCAUACGGGAGGAAGCAGGGGGGAAUAUUGGAAGACGGGCGAAAGCCUGAUCAAGACAAGCCGCGUGUGUGAAAAAGGUCUUAGGAUUGUAAAGAACUUUGAGUGGGGAAGAAGAGCAGUAAGUUAAUACCUUGCUGUUUUGACGUAACCAAGAGAAUAAGCACAGGCUAACUUCGUG
rnacentral:rRNA from 1 species